GGGGGAAAGAAAGUGGGGCGGCAGGAGUGGCGGUGGGGAAGAGAGGCGGCUGGGCCUGGAAGCAGAGACUGGGGCAGAAGAGCGGGGGAGAGGUAACCGCCGGCCCCAAAGAGCGCACAGAUGAUCUGUGCGGGGCUGCUUUCAGUUACCAACAUCCUGGUUCCUGGUUGCAUUUUGCAACCCUGCCUCGAAAAACACUGCAGAAGCAAACAGCAGAAGAUAAUCUGUCCCUCCCAACACAGGACACACAUUUCAAACACAGUCAAAAAUGGACAAUAAAGAAUCACUGACCCAGAAUCCACUGUCAGCCACAGUACCUGCAUUGCGAUUUACGAGUGACUGACACAUCUCAAUUGACCAGCCACCAGGAGACCCAAGAUUUAAUUAUCCAGAGCUUUGGUCUGGAUACAUACAUCUUUGACACAUCAAGCCGAGCUGCCUUUCUGACCUGAUUUCUGAGGCAUCACACUCUUUUGCUGUUCAUGGUGUUCUUAUCACUAUUUUUGGCAACAUCCUUCUGCAAAAAUGCUCCCAUAAGGAAUAGUCUUCUGGGAAGUUUAUACUUCUCUGCUCCAUUUACAGACAUGGUGAACUUCACCUAUAGAUGUUCCAUGACACUCUCUACUAGUUAAUUCCUUCUGAUUUCUCUCAAAUCGUUUCUGCAAUCUCUUCCAUGCACAGCCCAUCUCAUACCAGGGCCUGAUGCACAGAGCUGUGUUUUGACAGCAGUGAUGAAACCCUUGAUGUACCACUUCUUUUGUUUAUAUGACCAAGCAAAUUUGCAGCACUUACUAGCAUAAUAAUAACUACUGUGGUCUCUCUUGAGGAUUGCCACCUGGCUGGUUUUAGCCCAGCUUGAGUCCUGACCUAUUUCUACUGCUUCCCAGAGGGUUUUAUUUUUAGCUCAGGUUCAGUGCAAGGCAAUCAAGGCUUCAACAUUUCCAAAUAUACAGAUAUAUGUAUAUGCUGCAAGUUUAGUCAAUUAAAUUGUUUGGAUAACCAAUUAAAACCUUGU